rnacentral:rRNA from 1 species
AGCGAACGCUGGCGGCAGGCCUAACACAUGCAAGUCGAACGAACUCUUCGGAGUUAGUGGCGGACGGGUGAGGAACACGUGGGAACGUGCCUUUUGGUUCGGAAUAACUCAGGGAAACUUGUGCUAAUACCGAAUGUGCCCUUCGGGGGAAAGAUUUAUCGCCAUUAGAGCGGCCCGCGUCUGAUUAGCUAGUUGGUGAGGUAACGGCUCACCAAGGCGACGAUCAGUAGCUGGUCUGAGAGGAUGACCAGCCACACUGGGACUGAGACACGGCCCAGACUCCUACGGGAGGCAGCAGUGGGGAAUCUUGCGCAAUGGGCGAAAGCCUGACGCAGCCAUGCCGCGUGAAUGAAGAAGGUCUUAGGAUUGUAAAAUUCUUUCACCGGGGACGAUAAUGACGGUACCCGGAGAAGAAGCCCCGGCUAACUUCGUG